rfam:Culex pipiens quinquefasciatus supercont3.919 genomic scaffold, whole genome shotgun sequence.
GACCAAGUAGCCCAGUGGUAACGCUUCCGCCUCGUAAGCCGUAGAUCGGGGUUCAAAUCCCGGCUUGGACC